rnacentral:lncRNA from 1 species
UUGUUUAUCUAUCCUACAUACAACUUAAGUCGAAGCUAGGUUUAAGAAGUUGUGACUCGGAGUUCCCAUGGUGGCUCAGCAGAAAAGAAUCUGACUAGCAUCUAUGAGGACUCAUGUUUAAUCCCUGGCCUUGCUCAGUGGGUUAAGGAUCUGGCAUUGCUGUGAGCUGUGGUGUAGGUCACAGAUGCGGCUUGGAUCUGGCAUUGCUGGGGCUGUGGCAUAUGCCAGUGGCUACAGCUCCAAUUCAACCACUAGCUUGGGAACCUCCAUAUGCCACAGGGGCGGCCCUAAAAAGACAAACAAAAACAAAAACAAACCAAAAAAAGUUGUGACUAUAAUAAACAGAAUAUCCAAAGACUAAAUCGGCUUUUUUUUUUUUUCCUUUUUUUCCUUUUUUUUUUUUUGGUUGCACCCGCAGCAUAUGAAUCGAACCCACGGCAAAGCAGUGACCCAAGCCACUGCAGUGACAACGUCAGAUCCUUAACUCGCUGCAACACAGGAGAACUCCUAAAUCAGAAUUUUACAGAGGCGUGAGAAACCUGGAUUAACCUGGGUGGAGGAGGAAAUGGGUCACACAGAGAACUUGGGUCACACAGAGAACUUGGAAAUAGGCGGAAGUGAGGAGCUGUCAGCUCUGCCUCCGGCCAGAGCCUGGGACAGGCGUUGUGAACCGGCCUUCCCAGGCCCUGCCUGUUCAGGCACUCCACCCAGGAGCUCAAAGCUCAACUGCCUUAGGUUGCCACUUUGUUCACAGAAUGAGGCCACAGGGCACAGGGAGGGGCUGGGGGUUACUGACCCUGAUCCUUUUCCUCACCAGGAUGACCCCUGCCCCACCCAACCCUGAUGCCUACUUCCUUUAGCACCCAGCACUGCAAAGGCGACAAUCUUCCCAUGGGCCUCUACCCUAGCCACCUGACUCUCCUCAUUCACUCACUAAUGCACACUUUGCAAAUUAAAGACACAGAGUUCCCGCCAUGGCUCAGUGGUUAACGAACCUGACCAGUAUCAAUGAGGACACAGUUUCGAUUCCUGGCCUUGCUCAGUGGGUUAAGGAUCCAGCGUUGCCAUGAUCUGCAGUGUAGGUUGCAGACAUGGCUGGGAUCCUGAGCUGCUGUGGCUGUGAAGUAGGCUGGCAGCUGUAGCUCUGAUUGGACCCCUGGCCUGGGAACUUCCAUAUGCUGCAGGUGCAGCCCUAAAAAGACAAAAACAAACAAACAAAUACAAAGACACAGGCAGAGAGAAUCCUCUACAAUCAUGGGUCAGACUCAGACCGGUGAAGUCACAUUUUUUUUUUUUCUCCCUCGACUCCAGUUGGAUGGUGUUUGUCACUUGUUAGGUACCAACAACCUUAGGAGAGGAGUCAGAGAAAGAUGUGGGAAAAGGAGGAGCCGAAAAGGAAGUAGAGGGGGAAGGGGAGAGAGAAGGAAUUUCUUUGCAGUCUAAAGAAGGACUUGAGGAGGGAAAGAUAAAAGAGAAUAGCCUAGGCUAAUUAAGAGAGAGAAGAACAGAUGACUCUGAAGGGACAAUGUUUGGUGCUAAUAACUCUAGCUAACAUUUACUGAACACUUUACUAUGUGUUAAGAAUGGUUUUGGAGUUCCCAUCGUGGCUCAGUGGAAACGAAUCUGACUAGUAUCCAUGAGGAUGCAGGUUUGAUCUCUGGGUUAAGGAUCAGUGGGUUAAGGAUCCAGCGUGCUGUGAGCUGUGGUGUAGGUCACAGACAUGGCUCGGAUCUGGCAUUGCUGUGGCUGUGGUGUAGGCCAGCAGCUGCAGCUCCGAUUCAACCCCUAGCCUGGGAACCUCCAUAUGCUGACGGUGCAACCAUAAGAAGAAAAAAAAAAGUGUUUUAAGGACAUUGCAUGUAUUAUCUCAUUUAAGCCUCCCAACAACCCCAAAAGAUAGGUUAUUUGGGAGUUUUGCUGAUGAGAAAACUGAGGCUUAGAUGAAAUCAACUGUUCAAGGUUCCGCAGCUACUGCUGGAGCCAGGAUGCAAGCCCAUCAUAGCUAACUUAGAACCCUCUAGUGACAUCUCCCUUCUGCAUUCCCCCUCCCCAUGCUCCCCAGUUGGCUGUACCAGGGAUAAGGAAAGCCACCAGGUGAGAAGCACAGGGUGAGCUCCAUGGCCAUGAAUCCAGUUAGAACAUACUCAGUAAGCUCAGCUUAUGUUUUCUGUAAUUCAGAUUCUGUAAGAGUAAAUGUUCUCAUGAAAUUGCAGAUCAGCAGAAAAAAUGGAUGUAUUCUUGAUUCUACUUCUGCAUGUAAAGAUAGAUAUAGGAGACUUUGUUAUGUACUUACAAGGCUUCGUGUGGUAUUAAAUAACCCUGGUAAAAGAUGCUGACCUGUUUGGGGUCUGGUCUGGAGAUGAUUAGUGUAGAAUCAAAUUAUGUCAAAGGGGAACUUGGGGUUGACCACAUGCUAGACAUUCCAUUUAAAGACCGUGAAAGACACAGCAGUGUGAUUUGAAACUCUUGAGUACAAUGUGAAGUUGGGAACGCUGAUCCAGGUAGAAUUAAGAAAGGUGUAAGUCUGAAACAUGAACUCCAUCACCUGUUUACAGGUAACAUGCAGUUAGGCAAAUUCCCCGGGAGCAUGGCAUAAUAAGGAGGUGGGCAGAGUCGGGCUGGCUUUAAGGGCAUGCAAAAGAAAGAGGAAGAGGAACAAAUGAGUUAUUUUUAUUUGUCUGAAGAAUGUAACAAGUUUUUGAGGGGAAGAGGGUACAUGAAAGAAGGGGAGGUUUUCUGAAAGAGCUUCGGGGGUGGGGAAUGAAGAAGAUAGAUGUCAGUUUAUAGCACAUGUUUGGAGACUGGAGCAUAAUAUCAAGCAACCAACAAGAGUUGCAGCAAGAAACAGUAAGUGGGAGGAAAUAGCUCUCGAGAGGGCCAUGACUAAAUUUGUCUCAAGCCUGCAGAGGAGAAGAGAGAAGAGGAGGAAGUAAUAAUGGGAAGGUGAGGGAGGACAAGAGUAAAAGAUUCACUGCAGGAAUCCCAAGGCUCCAAGGAAAGAGGUGUUGGAGCAGAGCUGGAGACACCAGUAGAACCUGAGAUAAAGGCAUCCCCUCUCCCACUACAAAACCAAGCAGUUAACGAAUAGGGCAAUUCAGUGUCUGAUGCACCUUCUUGAGUUAUUUCACAGAGGCUAUAACUGCCAUGGGCCAGAGAGGGGGGGCGCAGGGACAGGGAGCUAACUACCUGAUGAUCAGACGAUAGCCAUGUCAUA